AUUGAACGCUGGCGGCAUGCUUUACACAUGCAAGUCGAACGGUAACAGGCCUUCGGGUGCUGACUAGUGGCGGACGGGGGCGUAAUGCAUCGGAACGUGCCCAGAGGUGGGGGAUAACGCAUCAAAAGCUGUGCUAAUACCUCAUGUGAUCUGAGGUUUAGAGCGGGGGACCUAGCUGCAAUGUUUGGCCUCGCGCCUCUCGAACAGCCGAUGUCAGAUUAGGUAGUUGGUGGGGUAAAGGCCUACCAAGCCGACGAUCUGUAGCUGGUCUGAGAGGACGACCAGCCACACUGGGACUGAGACACGGCCCAGACUCCUACGGGAGGCAGCAGUGGGGAAUUUUGGACAAAGGGCGCAAGCCUGAUCCAGCAAUGCCGCGUGCGGGAAGAAGGCCUUCGGGUUGUAAACCGCUUUUGUACGGAAAGAAAAGGCUCUGGCUAAUACCUGGGGCUGAUGACGGUACCGGAAGAAUAAGCAACGGCUAACUACGUG
rnacentral:rRNA from 1 species